UUUUAAAAGACAAUAGCGAUAUUGGAGAAGAUAAUAGUAAUAUCAGUCAUCAUUUAUUGAUUACUUACUGGCACUUCAUAUGGAUUAUUUCAUUUCAUCUCCCCAAGAACCCUGUGAGGGAAGAACUAGGGAAACUGAGUCUCACGGAGGUUAAGUAACUGGCCUAAAGAAUUGCCAAGGUGGAACUAGGAAUUAAACUGUGCUCUACUGGACUCCACAUCACAAUUUCUACACUGCUGUGCUAACCUCUCAACUGCUCCACAAUCCACAAUUUUGCUGGCAAUAUCUAGGCUUAUUAUUUAAAGCAACAAAGAUCAAAACAAGCCUUCUUGGAUCCAGAAUAAAUGCCUCACUGUGUAUCCAUUCAUUUAUCAGUGAUUAACAUGAUAGCUCCUAAGUUCACAGAGCUAACACUAAAUUCUCUCCCAUGGUAUGGAAGGUGGGGAAUCAGUAAUUCUUUGAGAUAAAAGGCAUCCCUGAGCUGAGUUUCAAAGUCCAUGGCCCUCUUCCCUGGAUCUUUUCCCCAACAGUCUCACUGUCUCUCCCACCUCACAUGCAUAUACUUGUUUUCCUUCCUUUGGGGCCCAGGUCCUGUCCAGAUUUCUCAUCACCACUCUAUCUGCAAAUCCAGAGAUGUACCACGAACUGCUUCAGCACAACUGUUUCACCGGCUACAGACUCAAGAGUCUGAAGCAUUGUGCGGCUGCAAGAGGACCCAUCAGCCCUGGGGUGAUUGAGGACUGGAAAUGCACCACAAAGUUGAACAUCUAUGAAGGCUAUGGGUAGACGGAAACUGUAGGUUGAUGUUGAUUCACUAUCCAGAAACCAAACUUGUCCAUUCACUGUGUAAGCACACUGUCAAAGUACUAAGCACACACUAGAAAUGCAAACCUGGAUCUUAAGCACCAGAAGAGGAAAUGGCUUAAACUAGAAAGACCCCACUUCCAUUGCAAGACAAAGAAUUAUGGGUACAGAUAAGUUACAAACUUACAGAUUUCACAGCAGAAAGCCGAGCUAGUUUCCACCUGACAAUUCCUGUCUUCUUUGUGGAGUAUAAGGCAAUGUCAUAUGAUAAGAAUGAAAAAAUGAUAGGGUAGGAGUCUGAGUGGAGGAUGUUUAAAAUUAUCAUUGCUGAAAAUGGAAGAAAUAGCAGAUUGUGAAAAUAAAGGAGAAAUGGGCAAUGAUAAGAGCAUGUUUGAGGUUGCAGAGCAUUAGUCUUCAAAGUCACUCAUCUAUUUAGUUGUGUCAUUUUCUCCAAUGUCACUCUAAAACACAGAUGAAAAGCAUGGUAAAAGUGGACAGUUAGAUUGAAGCAGGAUUAACAUUUUGCCAAGAAGGUACACCCACGUAUACAAAAUAUACGAGGUCACUGCCUCUGAGACCAUAAAAAGUUCUGCCCAAUAAAAGGGCAAAGGGCAAGGGAUCUAGGGAUAUUGGCAUUAAGAUGAAAGACUAAGAAACUAAGCUGAUCAGAGAAGGAAGGGAAUUCAAGAAAAGGCAGAUCAGUGGUGAGAAGACAAGGCACUGGAGAUGUCAAUGGAGCUGGAAGGAAUGAAGGUAAUUGUCUUAGUUUGCUCAGGCUUCUGUAACAAAAUAUCAUAGACUGGGUGGUUUAAACAACCAGUUAUUUUUCUCACAGUUCUAGAGGCUGGAAGUCCAAGAUCAGAGUACCAGCAAGGCCAGGUUCUAGUGAAGGCCCUCUUCUGAGUUGCAGACUACCAACUACUCAUGGUGUUCUCACCUGACAGGGAAAGAGAGACCAAGCUCUUUCCAAGAUCCUUAGUGUCUUUCAGUUUGCGUGUUUGUUUUUAAAGAGAAGCAGGGUCUUGCUUUGUUGCCCCAAACUAGAGUGCAGUGGUGUGAUCACAGCUCCCUGAACCCUCAAACUCCUGGGAUCAAGAGAUCCUCCAACCUCAACCUCUCAAACAGUUGGGACUACAGGUUUGCACCACCAUGCUUGGCUAUUUAUUUAUUUUAUUUUUUAGCAAAGACACAGUCUUGCUGUGUUGCCCAGACUGGUUUCAAACUCCUGGGCUCAGUGAUCUUCCCA
rnacentral:lncRNA from 1 species